rnacentral:rRNA from 1 species
GCUACAAUGGGAAGGGACAAUAGGUUGCGAAGCCGCGAGGCGGAGCCAAUCCAGCAAAACUUCCCUCAGUUCAGAUUGCAGGCUGCAACCCGCCUGCAUGAAGUUGGAGUUGCUAGUAAACGCAGGUCAGCCAUACUGCGUUGAAUACGUUCCCGGGGCUU